GACGAACGCUGGCGGCGUGCCUAACACAUGCAAGUCGAGCGGGGUUGAAGCGAGAGGUAACUCGAACUUCUACCUAGCGGCGGACGGGUGAGUAACGCGUGGGCAACCUGCCUCAAGGUCUGGGAUAACAGCCCGAAAGGGCUGCUAAUACCGGGUAUGCUUGUGGCCUCGCAUGGGGCUAUGAGCAAAGGGGAAACCCGCCUUGAGAUGGGCCCGCGUCCCAUCAGCUAGUUGGUGAGGUAACAGCUCACCAAGGCGACGACGGGUAGCCGGCCUGAGAGGGUGACCGGCCACACUGGGACUGAGACACGGCCCAGACUCCUACGGGGGGCAGCAGUGGGGGAUCUUGCACAAUGGGCGAAAGCCUGAUGCAGCGACGCCGCGUGAGCGAAGAAGGCCUUCGGUUGUAAGACUCUGUCUGGAGGGACGGAAGGAAGUAGACGGUACCGUCCGGACGGAAGGACCACGGCUAACUACGUGCCAGCAGCCGCGGUAACUACGUCUCUA
rnacentral:rRNA from 1 species